UAUUAAGGCACAAAUGCAGAUGGCUACAGAAAUAUUGACAGGCAAAAACCGCUCCUUCAAAGCUCGUAUGUCCCCUGGUGAUAGCCGGAGAACUGCCCAAUCUCUCUCCUCCAUGCAACUGGCGAGCAAACCAACAAAACCACUACACUCACCAAAACCAUCGUUUUCUCUUUUGAAAUCUCUUUCAGGGAAAAAAAAAGAAAAAAGAAAUCUCUUUCUUUCUCCUCUAAAACCUCACCUGCAAUGGCUUUCUUCUCAUUUGGGCUAUACCAUCUCCAACCAACCAAUUUAAGAAACAAUCCGUCCGCUUUCCUUCUUCCCUUAAUCUGUCUUCACUUCAUUCUCAGUUUUGUUUGGCUUUAUCUCCACUUAGAUUAGGUUCAAGAUUGCUUGGCAGUGGUCUUCUUGCAAGAGCUGAAGAUAAACAAAAUAGGGUUUGAGGAUCUGAGUAAGGUUACGUGUUAAGUGGGCGUUUUUUUUGGUAAAUUCAAAGAUGUUUUGGCGUGGCGUCGCCGGUGGAGACAAUUUUGGACAAGGACAACUUUACACUCGAGGAGCUGCUUGAUGAGGAUGAAAUUAUUCAAGAAUGCAAAGCUCUAAAUGGACGUCUUAUCAAUUGCUUACAGCCCAAUUAGAUCAGGCGGAAUUACAAGGGAGGGUCCUUAUUGGUGAGGGAUAUGACAAUACUAAUGUAGGGCAACACGGAGAAUGGAGAUUUUGCGUAGUGGGUCGUCUCUUUUCUGAUAGGGCUGUUAACUUUGAUGCUUUCCAACAUACAAUGGCCAUUGCUUGGAGACCUGAUCCUGGGAUGUUUGUCAAAGAACUGGACAAUAAUGUUUUCAUUUUUUAGUUUUUCCAUGCCUACGGCAUUACAAAGGUUUUGAAUGAUGGUCCAUGAACUACCUAAUUAGGAGUAAAUUACGUAAUCAUAGGGAUUUGUAUAACUAACAGAUCUGAUAUAUAUUAUUUUGUGUA